rnacentral:rRNA from 1 species
CACGUAGUUAGCCGGUCCUUAUUCCCCACCUACCGUCAACCCCCAGAGAACUGGAAGCCUGCGUUGGUGGUAAAAGAGGUUUACAACCCGAAGGCCGUCAUCCCCCACGCGGCGUCGCUGCGUCAGGCUUUCGCCCAUUGCGCAAUAUUCCCCACUGCUGCCUCCCGCAGGAGUCUGGGCCGUGUCUCAGUCCCAGUGUGGCCGGUCGCCCUCUCAGGCCGGCUACCCGUAAUCGCCUUGGUAGGCCGUUACCCCACAACAAGCUGAUAGGCCGCGAGCCCAUCCCUGACCGAAAAACUUUCCACCCUCCACCAUGAGGUGGCGGGUCGUAUCCGGUAUUAGACGGCGUUUCCACCGCUUAUCCCAGAGUCAGGGGCAGGUUGCUCACGUGUUACUCACCCGUUCGCCGCUCGUGUACCCCGAAGGGCCUUACCGCUCGACUUGCAUGUGUUAAGCACGCCGCCAGCGUUCGUCCUGAGCCAGGAUCAAACUCU